rnacentral:rRNA from 1 species
AGUGAACGCUGGCGGUAGGCCUAACACAUGCAAGUCGAACGGCAGCACAGUAAGAGCUUGCUCUUACGGGUGGCGAGUGGCGGACGGGUGAGGAAUACAUCGGAAUCUACUUUUUCGUGGGGGAUAACGUAGGGAAACUUACGCUAAUACCGCAUACGACCUACGGGUGAAAGCAGGGGAUCUUCGGACCUUGCGCGAUUGAAUGAGCCGAUGUCGGAUUAGCUAGUUGGCGGGGUAAAGGCCCACCAAGGCGACGAUCCGUAGCUGGUCUGAGAGGAUGGUCAGCCACACUGGAACUGAGACACGGUCCAGAAUCCUAAGGGAGGCAGCAGUGGGGAAUAUUGGACAAUGGGCGGAAGCCUGAUCCAGCCAUACCGCGUGGGUGAAGAAGGCCUUCGGGUUGUAAAGCCCUUUUGUUGGGAAAGAAAAGCAGCAGGUUAAUACCCCGCUGUUCUGACGGUACCCAAAGAAUAAGCACCGGCUAACUUCGUG